GACAGAGGUGCCAAGCGUUAGGCGGAAUCACUGGGCUUAAAGCGUGUGUAGGCGGAAUUGUAAGUACCUUGUGAAAUCCCACGGCUCAACCGUGGAACUGCUUGGUAUACUGCUUUCUUGAGCCACUUAGGGCUACCGGAACAAAUGGUGGAGCGGUGAAAUGCGUAGAUAUCAUUUGGAACGCCAAUGGUGAAACAGGUAGCUGGGAGUGUGCUGACGCUGAGACACGAAGCCAGGGAGCGAACGGG
rnacentral:rRNA from 1 species